GGAGCAAUCCUGGCGGCGAGUGGCGAACGGGUGAGUAAUACAUCGGAACGUGCCCAAUCGUGGGGGAUAACGCAGCGAAAGCUGUGCUAAUACCGCAUACGAUCUACGGAUGAAAGCAGGGGAUCGCAAGACCUUGCGCGAAUGGAGCGGCCGAUGGCAGAUUAGGUAGUUGGUGAGGUAAAGGCUCACCAAGCCUUCGAUCUGUAGCUGGUCUGAGAGGACGACCAGCCACACUGGGACUGAGACACGGCCCAGACUCCUACGGGAGGCAGCAGUGGGGAAUUUUGGACAAUGGGCGAAAGCCUGAUCCAGCCAUGCCGCGUGCAGGAUGAAGGCCUUCGGGUUGUAAACUGCUUUUGUACGGAACGAAACGGCCUUUUCUAAUAAAGAGGGCUAAUGACGGUACCGUAAGAAUAAGCACCGGCUAACUACGUGCCAGCAGCCGCGGUAAUACGUAGGGUGCAAGCGUUAAUCGGAAUUACUGGGCGUAAAGCGUGCGCAGGCGGUUAUGUAAGACAGUUGUGAAAUCCCCGGGCUCAACCUGGGAACUGCAUCUGUGACUGCAUAGCUAGAGUACGGUAGAGGGGGAUGGAAUUCCGCGUGUAG
rnacentral:rRNA from 1 species